AAAAAAUGCUACGGUGCAGUAUGACACAGUUUCUUUUUGAGUUCUCAGCUCACCGCUUACUUCCAUAUGGAUGGCUUUCCCACCAUUACCAGUUUGUCCAGUUUGCUCGCCAUGUACUUUGGCGGACUUUAGAUGCAAAGAGGAGCUGACCAUGAAGCCAGGAUUUGAGUUCAGUGAAGAACGGUUCCAGAAAAAAGGUAACGAGGAGCCGAUGCGUGUCCGUGCAGCUGUGCAGCAGAAGUAACCAGAAGAACAGGAGGCUGGAGAAGGAGAGAAGUCUUCAACACAGCUGGAACGGCAGCUGUUAGCAGGCAGUGCACAAUGCUCAAUCUCACACUUGUUUCUCCUUUCCCAUGAGCCUUCACACCCACCCCAGUUACACUCCACUCUGACCUGCCACUGCCUUGAAGAAGAGAGAAACGUUGCACCUCAUCACUGAACGCGGCCUCCUGGAACCAGAAACAAGCUGUUGACACACCUGUGAGAAAGCUUUCAGACAUGCAGAGUGUGAUGUGGCCUGUCAAUGAAGUGACCCGGAACCUGAUUCAGGACAGUUAAAGGAGACAGAAAGCAGUGGGAGAGCAGAAGGGGAACACGAUCACGAAAAGACCUUGGGCCAGAACUCAGGAGUGCCAAGACUUUUUCUCAGCCAAUAUCAGGUGUGACGCGCCGGGCCUGGUGUGAGCCUCCGUCCAUUGUCCUGCCGAACACACAUCCCGCUCCCUGGAGAAUAGCCUCCUCUCCCCGGCCGCGCCAAUCCCAGGACAGAAAACUCGCAACAAAAGUAAAAGGAGCUUGCUGACACCUUAUUCGCAGGGUUAUGUGACGACGUCGCUUUCUGAUUACUUCCAAAUGGUGUAACAAUGAAAAUUGCGAACUUCGACCUGUGGAGCAUCUACAUGUUCUUUGGCUCAGCGCACCGAGGGCUCUCCCAGGCGUCGUUCACGCCUCGGGGUAGGUCGACGGCCCCGGGGCAGAACGUCUCCUCCUCCAGUGUUUGAGAUCCCCACGGAGAACCGCUUCGCCCCUCUCCGCGAGACGGGUCAUGAUGUGGCCAUCAUCGGCGACUAAAUCGUGCGCCACGUCCGCUCCGCUUCCUCCAAUGGUAACAAAGUACGCACUUUCUGCUUCCCUGGUGCCCGAGUUAAGAAUAAUUCUGCACAGAUACCUACUAUCCUAAACACUUCCGAGAGCCUCGGUGCCGUCGUCCUCCACGUGGGGACAAACGUCACCGGGCUCCAGCAGACAGAGAUCCUGAAGAAGGACUUCAGAAGCCUGAUCGAGACGGUUCGACUCACCUCGCCCACCAGAUCAUCGUUUCUGGACCGCUUCCUACCUAUCGCCAAGGAAAUGAAAUGAAAGGUUCAGUAGACUUUUUGCUCUGAAUGAAUGGCUAUUAACAUGGUGUGAAGAACAGAAAUUGCUCUUUGCCAAUAACUGGAAUCUUUUCUGGGAGCGUCCCAGGCUUUUCCGCGCUGACGGGCUGCACCCCAGUCGAGCUGGAGCUGAACUCCUGUCGGACAACAUCUCCAGAAUACUUCGCUCUAUCUGACUAAUACUCUUCCCGAGGCCCUCAGACUAUGCAGAGUCACUGAUUCAAUCCAAGACCAACAAUGAGAUGAUCCCAAGGUUUCCAUAUCUUGGACCUGGCCGUAUCCUGAGCAGCUACUGUGGUGGUCAUGGAGGAGUGGAGAACAUGAGACUGAUUCCUGUGACGCUCCAGGGGCAGACGAGUCUUCGCUGAGGCCAGCUUUCAGCCUCCGCCGCUAAGACUGCAGCUCUGCACAAGACCUUUGGCCAGCGGAGAAAUUAAAAUGGUCGUGCCCAACUGAGUCUGGUUUCUCUCAAGGUUUGUUUUCUUCACUUUCACCAAUUAGUGAAGUUUUUCCCCUCUCCGCUGUCGCCAAUGGCUUGCAUGGUUCGAGAUCUGUAGAGCUGCGCAUCGUUGGAUUUGCUCUUCAGUGUUUGGACUCUCAGUAGUGAUUAUUAAACCACACUGAACUGAGCUAAACUGAACUGAACUUAAAUACUAAAAACUGAACUACACUGUUCCAAUUUACUAUGACCAUUUAUG